CAUCAAGCAGGCUCUGAUAGCUUGCUCACGUCUUGCACAUUUAGGAAAUUGAGAGACAACUUUUUCAGCGGCUCCACAGAGAAGUACGCAGGUGUUUUGUACGGUCUUGGUGUCGAGAAUGGACAAAAUACUAAUUGAAAAGAAAUAAUUGGGAAAAUGAUUGAUGAAUAUUUGUAGACUACCUGAGUGUGAGACUUUUAAUUCUCUUGUAUACUUUGCCAAAA
rnacentral:misc_RNA from 1 species